rnacentral:rRNA from 1 species
UGCAAGUCGAGCGAGAAGUGACUUCGGUCGCGAGUAAAGCGGCGAACGGGUGAGUACAAGGUGGAUAAUCUACCCUAGGGUCUGGGACAACCCCGAGAAAUCGGGGCUAAUACCGGAUAAGACCACAGUAUCCAAGGAUACAGCGGUAAAAGAUUUAUCGCCUUUGGAUGAGUCCACGCCCCAUCAGGUAGUUGGUAAGGUAAAGGCUUACCAAGCCUAAGACGGGUAGCCGGCCUUAGCGGGUGAACGGCCACAUGGGGACUGAGACACGGCCCUGACUCCUACGGGAGGCAGCAGUGGGGAAUAUUGGGCAAUGGGCGAAAGCCUGACCCAGCGAUGCCGCGUGAGGGAUGAAGGCCUUCGGGUUGUAAACCUCUGUCAGGAGGGACGAUGGGACACUUGUGUCUUGACGGUACCUCCAGAGGAAGCCCCGGCUAACUCCGUGCCAGCAGCCGCGGUAAUACGGAGGGGGCAAGCGUUGCUCGGAAUUACUGGGCGUAAAGGGUCCGCAGGCUGUCAGGCAAGUUGGUUGUGAAAUCCCAAGGCUUAACCUUGGAAUUGCAUCCAAAACUGCCUGACUAGAGUCCAAGAGAGGUUGGCGGAAUUCCCGGUGUAGCGGUGAAAUGCAUAGAUAUCGGGAGGAACACCAGAGGCGAAGGCGGCCAACUGGCUUGGUACUGACGCUCAGGGACGAAAGCGUGGGUAGC